AUUGAACGCUGGCGGCAGGCCUAACACAUGCAAGUCGAGCGGAUGAAGGGAGCUUGCUCCUGGAUUCAGCGGCGGACGGGUGAGUAAUGCCUAGGAAUCUGCCUGGUAGUGGGGGAUAACGUCCGGAAACGGGCGCUAAUACCGCAUACGUCCUGAGGGAGAAAGUGGGGGAUCUUCGGACCUCACGCUAUCAGAUGAGCCUAGGUCGGAUUAGCUAGUUGGUGGGGUAAAGGCCUACCAAGGCGACGAUCCGUAACUGGUCUGAGAGGAUGAUCAGUCACACUGGGACUGAGACACGGUCCAGACUCCUACGGGAGGCAGCAGUGGGGAAUAUUGGACAAUGGGCGAAAGCCUGAUCCAGCCAUGCCGCGUGUGUGAAGAAGGUCUUCGGAUUUUAAAGCACUUUAAGUUGGGAGGAAGGGCAGUAAGUUAAUACCUUGCUGUUUUGACGGUACCAACAGAAUAAGCACCGGCUAACUUCGUG
rnacentral:rRNA from 1 species